GUCAUUUGCAGGUGAAGUUGAGUUCUCCUCAAUAUUUCAAACUAAAUUAAUAGUUGGAAAAAUGCUUUUCUCGGAACUGUAAUCGAGUAACGUGAAGGGAAUGUGGCAGCUGUGUGUGGACAAGUGAGUCACUUGUUGCUGCACGACAUGACGCUGUGUUCAGGUGUUCAUAACUGUGAGGGCAGAGCACCACCUCUGCGCCUCACUUCGCUACUGCGAAACUCUUUAUCUCGAGUCAAAACUUUGGCCUGGCCAGUGUAGAGAGGGACGUAUGGCUGGAUGACUCAUGCUUGCCAGAAACAUUACAAUGACCUGAAAAAAACCAUAAACGUUGCUGGUGCUCAAUUAACAGAAGUAUCCUUCAAAUAUUCACACAUUCCAAGCGCUUUGGUGACUAUAUGAAAAAGAAAAUACAAUGUAUAACGAGAUAUAUGCGUCUGGGUUCGUUUUACAAUACAAACCUACAGAAUACAAACUGAUCGAAGGCAAAUCACUUCUUCAGAGCACCUGCCGCUUCCCAUCUCGCGAGUGACACGCUAUCGACCUCUCCACAAGGGUCCACGCGCCCGCCUCCCAACCCUCAGGAUUGGGUAUAGCCAGCCUUCUUGUAACACCAUCCCCCCAUCCUCUGUGCCUCGCCUCGCGCCAAUAUUCCAUCGUUUCCACCUUGUUCUCUGCGCCUACUGUCAUGUAUCAUUCAACAAACAAUGUCUGGGAUCGCAGCCCACUUUGAGGGAAACGUGAAAUACAACAACGAGUCAUUGGGGUUCUCUGGCCUUUACUUUCUCGGGGAUGGAACACGAGGAAUUUUUAUAUCUGAUAAAAAAAUAAACUUUUGUUGUUUCUCCUUCACGUCUGCGGCGCGAAGGGCGAUGAUGGACAACACACCGGCGGUGCUGAGGUACAGACGAGCUGUUUCUUGUGCACCACGAGAUUCUGAGGACCCACGCAAGAGAGUCAUCUGUUAAGCGAGUGUCUCACCUCACACGCCACCACCACCUCCACCAACGCUUCCACCCUUCCUCGUCCUCCCACGACCGCUUCCUUCCUCCCUUCUGUCCCUCUCCCCGCACAACACAGUCCAGCCUUUUCCCAUCCUCGCCUCACAGUAGACAGCAGGUGUGGGCGUCCAUCAUUUUUGGCCGACGAAUCAUAGACAUUCCUCCGCGGCGGUGAAGCAGGUCGGGGAAAAGCUUGUGGCGCGGGUUAAAUCUAUUACCACGUCGCAGGAAGGACACCCGAGAGAUAUUGCCUGCACCUUGCCUUCAGCUCGCUCCCAGGGCUCCUCCAUCACCCCUUUUAUCUCAGGAGUGGGACGAUAAUAACAGUACGUACAGGUGUGGGGAUAACAAGGGCCGACAGGAUAUCGAACCGAUAGCUAAAGAAAACGCAGUUACAUAAAACCCUCACCUUUCACUGCUAUUUGCCACAUCUUCCCUUCAUCACUAA